CUAGUCUUUUCAUUAUUUUUUUACGGUGUAAUUCUUUAUAUAUAAAUGGCUCUUUAUGUUUAUGAAUAAAAUAGAAUCAUACAGAUUCUAUUCUAUAGUUUUACAACACUAAUACAUUUAACCACAUUUUCCUCAGGACCUCACCAGAUUUAAGAUUUAUCCAACAUGAUUCUUCCAAAAUGAAAAUUAACUCUCGCUCCAAAAAUGGGUAAAGCUUCAACAAAUCAUAUAAUGGAGUAAAAUUCCUAGGGGUGCAAUUUCCCAUAUGUUUCAGCAGAAUGCAUGUGAUUCUGACUUUUCUUAUCUCUGGUGUUGUCUUUAUUCAUCUGGGAGUGGGUUAUGCAAAAAAAUGGGGUUUGAUAACAGUAGAGGAUAACUUUUUUUGUCUUUCUGAUAUAGUUGACAUAUCCGUUAGUUUUAGAUAGCGUUUGUAUAUUUAGAAACGCUAUGAUAAAAUAGUAUAAUUGGAAACAUUGUGAUAGCUUAUGUUUAAUAUCAAAAUAAUUAAAACAUUAUGUUUGGUUUUUUAAAUCCCUUAACUCUAAAGAACUUUUUAAACCCUAAACUCUAAGUAUAAACCUUAAAACUCUAAGUUUAUAUUCUCAUACUAUAACUUCAACUCUUGAAUUUGAACUCAAACUUAUUCUUUUUAAUUUUAAUAUAUAACUUCCAAACACACAAACCUUAAUUCCUCAAUCAAACAUAUAAACUAUAAAGCACAAAACUUAUAAUUUGUAUAAUAAUUUCAAAAUAAUAACACAAAGCCCUUAAAUUUGUGCUAAAAAUACUUAAUAUAACUCUAAUUUCAAACCCUAUUAUGAAAAUUUUGAAAAUCAUAAAUCUACAAAAUCCAAAUCAAAUUUAUAUUUCAAAUGUUAAAUUAUAAUAUCUAAUUUUUAAAUUUAGGAAAAUUCUAAAAGAAUUAAAAAGAAAUGUAAAUACAUUAAACUUUAAUUUAAACUCUAAAUCAUUAAUCAAACUCGAACCUUUGAAUAUACAUGAACCUUAAACAAAAAACAAUAAUGUAUACUGAAGAAAAACAAAGAGUUGUCGAAGAAAAGGUAAAAAAUAAAGAAGGCUUUUCUAUUGGCCAAUACAUGAAUCACGAGGAUUGCAAUACAAACCCUUAGAUUAGUUUAAUCUAACGACCACAAUUCAUUUCUCUCUCUCUCUCUCUCUCUCUCUCUCUCUCUCUCUCUCUCUCUCUCUUCCCCUUCGAGUCUUCUCUGUUUAAUCUUCUCUUCUUCUCAACUAUUUUUUUUUUAAGUUUGGAUAUUGAGUUUGAUUUAGCAAUCCCCCUUCGACUUGGACUUUGGUGCCUUCAACUUCGCCUUUGGUGCCUUCAACACCGCCUCGGAUUUAAACAAAGUAACGAGAUUGUUGGGAUAAGUGGGGAGAGCUUUCUCAGAGAUGAAAAUGGCAACGAAGCUCAAGCACCACCGUCUUCAAUGCCAACCUGUUGCGAUGCUCCUCUGCCUGAUGACGAAGCCCAGAUACGAGCCGUUUUUGAUUGGGCCGAGAUGAAGCUCUCCGAAUCCGCCGGUCAAGACUCUAACUCCACCGCGUCUCUGAAGAAGAGGAGAGAGGAUGAAAUAGAAGAGGAGAGAAGAUGAAGAAGACCAACAUUGGAUCUGACGAAGCUUUGGUGUGGAGAUGGCAGAGGAAGCUGGUGGUGGUGGUUGAGGUGGAGCCGAGCAAAAAGAAGAAGAGGAAGAGAGGCGGAGUAGGAGAGAAGUCAAGAGACACAACGGCUUAGUAGGUUUAGGUUUAGUUGUUAUUUUUUCUUUAAAAAAGUUGUUUGGUUUAGUUUGGUUAACUUUGAUGUACCGGUUUUACAUUUGUAACAAUUUCGAUAUAUAAAUUUAUUUUAAUUUUUAA